GGCAGUGGUGGCUUGAUGGUUAAGGCUCAGGUUUACUGAUCAGAAGGUCCGGGGUUCAAGACCCAACAUUGCCA